GCUGUGGAUAAUUUGGAUUGUUGUCGGAUUGGGACGAAGUAAGGAAAAUAGGGGAGGUGCUGCCGAAUUUUCGUUAGAUUAUUAGCUAGCUUACAAGAAAGUAAAGCACGAUGUUUAUCUAAUUGCGGCACGAUUGUUGCUUGUUAUAGAUUAAUAGCUUGAGCAGUAAAUAUUGGACGUGCGGCUCAAUUAUACGGUAUGUAACGCUGUCCCUUCUUUCUUUGCUUGGCAUGACUUUUAAAAAUAAGCGAAUAACGGGCAGAUUUGAUACUUACCUCUAAAGCGUCUAGGUGAUGUAUAUUCUUACUUCCACAAUUAUUCCUCUAUAUAUCGGUUAUGUCUAAGGCUAUGAUGAUCUCUAAUAUCUAUGGUAAUGCUUCUUAGAGUCAUUGAAAUUUUACGUUUUCAUAUCGUAUUAAAGGUUCAUAAUCUUGAUAAAACAUUAAUCUUUGGUAAUACUCCUUGCUGGUUCACGUUGAUUGUUCUAUUGAGUUAUAAGAAAUGAUUUUAAUUGCAUAUGGUUGCUCAUAAUAUUCUGCUCGUGCAUAGAGUCAUUUAUCAUUUCACCGAGUCCCGGGCCGGGUAAUGUUCGUGCGGAGUUUCUUGCAUAUGUCACCGACUUC
rnacentral:lncRNA from 1 species